rnacentral:rRNA from 1 species
UACGUAGGGUGCAAGCGUUGUCCGGAAUUAUUGGGCGUAAAGGGCUCGUAGGCGGUCUGUCACGUCGGGAGUGAAAACUCAGGGCUUAACCCUGAGCCUGCUUCCGAUACGGGCAGACUAGAGGUAUGCAGGGGAGAACGGAAUUCCUGGUGUAGCGGUGGAAUGCGCAGAUAUCAGGAGGAACACCGGUGGCGAAGGCGGGUCUCUGGGCAACAACUGACGCUGAGGAGCGAAAGCGUGGGGAGCGAACGGG